ACCUCGUGAUCCGCCCGUCUCAGCCUCCCAAAGUGCUGGGAUUACAGGCUUGAGCCACCGCGCCCGGCCAUCUCAGUAUUUCCUAUGACCACUUCCUUUUUCAACUGAAGACAAUGCACCUGAAGGGGUUCCCAGGUUUUUCACCUUGGCCCUUGUCAGGACUGAUCCUCUCGGCUACUGUCCAUUUCACCUCCAUUCGUGUCCAUGCCACAUCAGGCUGUGUUGUCCAGAUGGAAUGAAUCCACCCCAAAUGUCCCUUUCUGGAGGAAGCCACCAUGAUGCUGUACCUCCAACACGUCCACACACACCGAGGCACCUCGCUCACGCAAGGUGUGUGUCCUCCAACCGAGUUUCAUGCUGUAAACCCAGGAAACUUGUGGAAGAUCCUGAAGGGUGGCAUCGUUGAGGGAGCCUGAGACAGAGCAACACAAGCUAAGAAGGAGGGCAGUGCCACAGCAGAACUGCUAUUGAUGCCCCCUCACCUAGAUUCCAGAAGAGACAUCCAGCUAUAGACACUGAGGUGCAGGAAAACAGUGGAGCACCCAGCACCCAUCAGAGAAAGCAGUGCCCAAGAACAUGGAGGCACUGAUGGUGGCAAGGGGAAAAGACAGCUGCCAUGAGGCUGUUCUCAUGAGGGUCUCAGGCUGCACAGACACCCACAUUGGCUGACGGGUACUGGUUUUCAUAAGGGUGUGGCUCAGCCAGGCCACCAACAAGCAGUUAACAAACAGUAGUAAUACGACACUUCCAAAAACCUUACUUGAGUAACACGGUGAUCCUCACAAAUUUCCAAUCACGACGGUCGCACAGUUCCUUCUGUUUUAGGACACAGAGCCUGCCCGUGUCUGUCCUGUCUGUUGACCACGGGUCAGAGGUACAGGCUGCACUGGGGAGUAAGAAUGUCACCUUCUCAACUUUGGGAAAACUCCCUGCUAGAACUGAGAAUGGCCCUUUCUAAGCAGAAGGCAAGUUCAGACUAAAGGAGGAGCCACCGCACCCGGCCCACAGUGAAAAUAUUAAUAGUUGUCAAGGUUUCUGGAGAAAGAGGACAGAGAUUAAUGAGCGAGAAGAGGGGAUUUUUAGGGAGGUGAACAUAUUCUUUAUGAGAACAUAAUGGUGAACAUAAUGUUACCAAUAUUUCAAACGUCAUAUUAAAUGUGUAACAAAGAAUGAACGUUAUGUAAAUGAUAGACUCCAGAUAAUAUGUCAAUAUUUUCUCAUUACUUUUAGCAAAUGUGCUACAUUAAUGUAAGAUGUUAAUAAUAGAUGAAAUUAGGAAGUGAGGGUGAGGGGACAGAAGGAUAUGGGAACUUUGUGUAUUACAUGCUCAGUUUUUUUUUGUUUGAGAUGGAGUUUCGCUCUUGCUGUCCAGGGUGGAGUACAAUGGUGUGAUCAUGGCCU